rnacentral:misc_RNA from 1 species
UUAAGUUCAGCGGGUAGUCCUACCUGAUUUGAGGCCAGAUAAUAAAAAGUCAUGUCCACGAGGUGGAACUUGUAUUGGGAAGCGGACAAGCGUCCUAGAAACGAGGCCACUCCGAAGAAUGUCCUUAGCGAAAUACUUAUUACGCCAAGUCAAACCAAGUCUCAAAGACAGAUCCAGCUAAUACAUUUAAGGUGAGCCGC